rnacentral:rRNA from 1 species
UACAGAGGGUGCAAGCGUUAAUCGGAAUUACUGGGCGUAAAGCGUGCGUAGACGGUUAUGUAAGUCAGAUGUGAAAGCCCCGGGCUUAACCUGGGAAUGGCAUUUGAGACUGCAUAGCUAGGGUGCGGAAGAGGGAAGCGGAAUUUCCGGUGUAGCGGUGAAAUGCGUAGAUAUCGGAAGGAACACCAGUGACGAAAGCGGCUUCCUGGUCCAGCACCGACGUUCAGGCACGAAAGCGUGGGGAGCAAACAGG